AAGCGAUUAAUAAUAAUAUUUUCAUUAAUAAUAAUUAACAUUUAUACGUAUUUAUCCAACGUUAUUUUUAAUGUAUAUAUACACUAAUAUCUAGGGUAAUUCCUUUAUCACAAACGAAAAUCUAUACGAAGAUUUCGAAUUUAUUUGAUUUUGGUUUUUAUCAGAUGUUAUAAAACUGUUCGUGAUUUUAUACUAGGCUACAGAUAAUUCUGAGUAUUUUUCUAUCGAACGACAUUUUCGUUUCUAUUCAGUUAGUUACAGUCAACCCCUCCAUAACCGUAUAGUAGAUAGAGUUGGUCUAAAAUUCGCCGUGUUAUUAUGCAGAAUAGCUUUCAUUUUUUUUAAAUUAUUAUUUCAAGUAGAUAUGAUCAAGUAUCAAGUAGAUCAAGUAGUAUGAUUUCAAAUAGGUAUUCAUUAGUAAGAGCAAAUGAUGAUUUUUUUUUUGCCUUUUUGGUGUGGCUUACUAAUUCGAUGGUUCGACCGUUUACAACACAGAUCGUGUAGCAUCGUAAUAUUUAAAUUUAUAAACUUUAGUCUUUGUCCAAAAAUGCACGUU